GUGACAGGGGAAAGGCACAGUCUCAGUGUAACAAAGAGAUUGCUUUCGAUCACAUGGAAGGAAGCCCACAGAGUUUGAAGACAGAAAGAUAAAAUUGCCAGAUUUUCCUUCCCUGUCUGGAGAAACUGGGACCUGUGCACCUCUAUCUGCUCUGGAACUGAAGUCGUUGGGACCUUAAGAGUUCUGCUCAGGUGUGUGUCUGCUGGUGCUACUGCGCUGAAUUCUCUGAGCAGCAGAGCUAAGGAAAGUAGCAAGUGUGUGCGGCAGGCAAGUUCGCAGCAGCUUGUUAUGAAUCCAAAAGGCUGAGCCAGAGCAAAGGCUGAAUGGGCUGUGAAAAUAGCUCCUCUGAGGUCCUAGGAAGUAUCUAAAGGCUACGACAGCACCGAAUGCACUUGGUCAGAGUAUUAUCAGACUCACAUAGUCUGAAUACCAAAAAAGCAAGUCACCUUCCACUCUCCCCUUAGAUAAUGUUAAGAAGAGCUGUCUGCGUUUGAAACAGAUUAUUUUCUCCUUUUGUUUGGAUGUUAAGGGUUCUGUUCUGCAUAGAAACAGGAACAGACCUCCACUCAUUUAUUUGCAUCCAGGAAACGGAAGGUAACUGAUAUCAGGGGAGACUGACAGAGUGAUUGUAUCCAUGACAACCAGCAGAUAUGGCCUUGCUGCCUGGCAGCUCGUUCCCUGGUCGCCUUCCCAGGCCACGCUCUCAGCUCCGGUGGGUCCCUUUCCUCGAGGCACCUCUUGGCUGCAGUUGCAUGUUCCUGCGAGAUAGGUGCCAAAUUCCCAGAUGAAAUGAGUUUCCUCAAGGCAACAGCUUAAUCAAUUCUUGUCUCCAUUAGCAAAACUCUUCCCUGACUUGUGCUGCAUGUGCUUCAGCCAAGGGCUCCCUGGGAGUCCCAGAGGAGGUUUUAGAAACUCUGGUCCAUGGAGGAACUGCCUGAUUUACAGUAAGAACACACAGGAACAGGGUGGACUCAGCAAUUUGCAGAGCCAGCAGGCAAAAUGCAAUAUGUAGGGCAAAAGAAAACAAAAGGUUUCAGAUAUGCCAGGCACCUUAAUAAAUGCAGGAAUUGGUGAGCUGCGCAAGGUCAUCUGAUGCUCACCUUUGCUGGAAGUACUGGC